GGAGGCGGAUAGGCCCUGGUGGGUCUCGCGGACUUCAAAUCCGUUGGCGGUGACUAAGUUGCCGUGGGGGUUCGAUUCCCUCCCCCUCCGCCA
rnacentral:tRNA from 1 species